rnacentral:rRNA from 1 species
UUGGGAAUAUUGGACAAUGGGCGAAAGCCUGAUCCAGCAAUGCCGCGUGAAUGAUGAAGGCCUUCGGGUCGUAAAGUUCUUUCAGCAGGGACGAAGGGAAACUUGACGGUACCUGCAGAAGAAGCACCGGCUAACUCCGUGCCAGCAGCCGCGGUAAUACGGAGGGUGCAAGCGUUGUUCGGAAUCAUUGGGCGUAAAGCGCGUGUAGGCGGUCACUUAAGUCUGGUGUGAAAUCCCGGGGCUCAACCCCGGAAGUGCAUUGGAUACUGGGUGGCUAGAGGACGAGAGAGGGAAGCGGAAUUCCUGGUGUAGGGGUGAAAUCCGUAGAUAUCAGGAGGAACAUCGGUGGCGAAGGCGGCUUCCUGGCUCGUACCUGACGCUGAGACGCGAAAGCGUGGGUAGCAAACAG